rnacentral:rRNA from 1 species
UACGUAGGUGGCAAGCGUUGUCCGGAUUUACUGGGCGUAAAGAGCGCGCAGGCGGUCGUUCAAGUCGCGUGUGAAAGCCCCCGGCUCAACUGGGGAGGGUCACGCGAUACUGAUCGACUCGAAGGCAGGAGAGGGAAGUGGAAUUCCCGGUGUAGUGGUGAAAUGCGCAGAUAUCAGGAGGAACACCGGUGGCGAAGGCGGUUCUCUGGGCCUGUACUGACGCUGAGGAACGAAAGCGUGGGGAGCGAACAGG